GUGCUCACUUCGGCAGCACAUGUACUCAAAUUGGAACGAUACAGAGAAGAUUAGCACGGCCCCUGCGCAAGGAUGACACGCAAAUUCGCGAAAGCGUUCCAUAUUUUA
rnacentral:snRNA from 1 species